AGUAACGCGUGAGGAACCUGCCUUCCAGAGGGGGACGAACAGUUGGAACGACUGCUAAUACCGCAUGAUGCGUUGGAGCCGCAUGACUCCGACGCCAAAGAUUUAUCGCUGGAAGAUGGCCUCGCGUCUGAUUAGCUAGUUGGUGAGGUAACGGCCCACCAAGGCGACGAUCAGUAGCCGACCUGAGAGGGUGGCCGGCCACAUUGGGACUGAGACACGGCCCAAACUCCUACGGAAGGCAGCAG
rnacentral:rRNA from 1 species